GGAGCUGAGGUGCUGUGAGGCCGCCUAGGCAGAGAACUCUUGUACAUUUAGUAAUCUUUCCACCUGACCCAGUUUCUGGAAGGAGGUUGAAAGCGGUGUGCGGGAUGAGAAACUACAGGCUCGCCUCGAAGGGGACUGUUCCGGAUACUACCAAGAUGUGGUGGUCUUUUCUGGAGCUUUUACAACCGCCGAAGCAUCAUCCAGGGAGUCAAUUUACAAUCCAGCCCUGAGUUGUCCGAAAACAAACAUCAAGCUAUUGAAGAUCUCUAGACGGUCCAUCAUGGAUCAGAACAGUCUCUAUGCCAACCAGUAAAAUGUCAAAUCCAACCUCAGUUCAUCAUAUCACCAACAUAUGGGGGUGGAUCAAUGCCAGGCAUGCUGAUUAGCAGUGGGCAGGUGUAGCCAGAGGCAAUGUGAUAAUGGCCAAAGCAUGCAGAAUCACAUCACCAGCCAUGAGAGUCUAUGGGGGAACCUUGUGCACGCCUGCACAUACAGUAUAGAUAGACUGCAGGCAUGCAUGAAGAGAUCACUCACACAAACACACAGACACGCACACACACACACCAGCCUCCUGAGGGAGGAAUGAACCUGUUGCAGUUAAAGGGGUCAAAGGGGAGCCCUCAGUCCAGCAAAUUACUGAUAUGCUGUGCUCCCUGGAUACAUGACCUGACUUCAUGAUGAAUGGAAGAUUCUA